CACCCUCCCGACGCCGCUAUCCUCCCGGCGCAGCACCCUCAUCCCGAUGGACUUCUUCACGACCCAGGCCUCCUCCCCCUGCUUUCUCCGCUUCGGUGUUGCAAAGGUGCGGCGAGCUCGCGCAGCAUCCGUUGCGGCCUCCGGCAAGCUCCUCGAGCGGCGGCCCCUGCGGCUUUUCAGAGCUCUUGGCACCUCCUGAGCUUGAACGGGCUCCUCCUCUGCAGCACAGACCUCCAUAAGAACGCCAUCGGAGACAGCCCAAUCCUCAUCCCCAAAGUUGGAUUGGUGUCCGCCGGCCGAUCUAUGCAAUCUGUUCUGAGAUUGCCUCCACCGUGCCUGCAGGAGUUCCUAGUGAUUUGGUGAAUCGCCCCCUCAUCUAAACCAGCGGAGGAGUUUAAUUGCUUUGGUCCUUCAAAUAACUGCUGGUGGCGCUUACAUUGAAUUCAACCUCGAUCGGUACCUCAACCAUCUCUAAUUAGGUUGCGUCAAAAUGUCAUUUUUAUUUCCCUUCUUUUUGAAAAUCUAUGGAUCUCUUGCAUCACAUACUGAAGAGUUUCAGAGCCAGUCCAGGAUACAAUUGUUUUAUGACAUGCUGCCCUUGUAUAUGAAGGGUUCCAGCAUAUGCCUAAAUAGUAUCCAUAGCUCUGUAAAGGCUAUUUGAUUGUACGCAAUGCAUACACAAAUAGGAAAUUAGAUUUGCACA